rnacentral:rRNA from 1 species
UGUGAUUCCCUUAGUAACUGCGAGUGAAGUGGGAUAAGCCCAUCGUUUAAUCUUCCUGGAUUAUAGACAGGACGACAUGUAACGGUAUGGAUAAGUUUACUACUAAUAAUAUUUGAUCAAAAUCCUCCGGAUUGAGGUGCCAUAGAAGGUGAUAGCCCUGUAUAUGAUUGAAUAAUAUUAGGUAUGUAACUAAUUCCUAGAGUCGGGUUGUUUGGGAUUGCAACCUUAAGUAGAUGGUAAACUCCAUCUAAGGCUAAAUAUAGACACGAAACCGAUAGCGAACAAGUACUGUGAGGGAAAGUUGAAAAGAACUCUGAAAAGAGAGUUAAAAGUACGUGAAACCGCUUACGGGGAAGCGGAAAGCAGUGUCGUGAUCUUGUAAGUCAAUUAUUUUAAUAUAUAUAAAAAUUUUGUUGAAAUAUACAAAAUAUUUAAUAUAUAUUAUUAUAAUUAGCUAUAUUUGAUGCGUCAGAUCUAUUGGUAUUACAUAUGAUUUAUAUUAUUCUUUAUCUAUAAUAUUUAUAGUGUAGCAAUAACGACACCUAUUAACACUUGUUAUUAGGCUCGAUAUUGUAUAGAAUAAUCUAUCAUAUAUACUAAUAUAUUGUUGUAAUGAAGCGUUAGUGAUACUUAUAUAAUAGUGGUCGGUUAUAUUUAUAUAAUAUAUAUAUAUUAUUUAAUAUAAUGUAUGUAUAUUAUAUAAAAUAAAUAAUAACUAAUGCUAGUAUCUGACGAGAUACCUAACUUUC